ensembl:lncRNA
CAGAGCCCCUCCACGUGAGCUACUGUUCCUGGGAACGCUGGUCGUACCAAGGACAGCCCUUUGGCAAGCAUGCAGCCUUUGUUCCUCUGCCUACUUAAGCAAGCUUCUCUUAGGGGGCGGCUGCAGGUGCACACUUCCGUCCAGCCAGCUGCCACUGGACACUCUCCUUAACAUUAUUCCUCCUUCUGGUCUCUGCUGAGUAUCUUGUCCACAGGGAAGCCUUCACUGACUGCCAGGCUAGAGCAGACCUCACGCACAGCCCAUGACAGAGCUACAGUUUCACAUCUGUUGUGGUAUUUCCAGGGCCCUCGCACUCGUUUGACGUUGACUAAUGGUGGCAUGCCCAGGACACAUGAUGGUGCUGCUGCCGCCUGAAUCACCCCUCUCAGAAGUCCACGCUUUGCAGUCCCUUCUGCUCCCUUCCUGGCCUGGACCACGGGGAAACAGGCUGCUUCUCUUUGCUUUGGGGCAGAUAUGGCCAGGGGCCGCUCAGCUUCUGUUGGGGAAAGGAGAGGGAAGCAAGGUUGCCGGCCCCUGGCCACGAGCUGGCUCAGAACAACCCUGAGGUUCUCAAUUGCCAUGCCUGUGCGGAACAGCAGGAAAACGAGACUCCAAGGUUCUAUCUCUUCUCUUCAAGACGGACAACUGAUGCCUGCAAAUGGAAGCCAGACGUGCCUGACUCAGUGGCCCCACUUGCCCAGCACUUUUAGUGCUAUCCAGUUAGUGCCACUUGAUUUCCUUAUCCCCCCUCACUUUCAGUAGUUGACCAGCGAGGGAUCUGAGCUUCGGAAGGGAGUAGGAGGUGCUCCAGGGGCCAGGCUGGAAAAGACCAGGCGGGCUUCACCUUCUCAGGCUGUGUGGCCUCCUGGGAGACGUGGGGCUCCUCUCCAUCCCUCUUUCUGUUUCCUCAUUGGGAAAGUGAGGACAUGACUGCCCAAUGCCCCAGGCUGACCUUGCCUAGCACAGAGGAAGUGUCCUCCUUGCCAGGCCUGCCAGGGUGGCCGGAGUGCUGGAUGCUGUCCUGCCACUGCCACUUACAAGUCUUCUCAUCUUGGACAAAUCAUAUCAUCUCUCUGAACCUCAAUUUCCUCAGCAGUGAGAUGGGAAUCAUCUUCCCCAUGCCUCCUUGUGUAAGGUAGUGAGAACUGUAGGCAAUUCACUUGUAAUUUGAAAAAUAUAAAUUGUCAUACAAACUAAGCUGUGGACCGUGCUGGGGGCCACUAGGGACUCAAAAAUUUUGAGACACAAACUUACACCCAUUAGUAUGACUAUAAUUUUUAAAAAACACAGUAAAUAACUAGUAUUGGCAAGAAUGUAGAGAAAUUGGAACUGUUGCACACUGUUGGUGGGGGUAUAAAAUGGUGCAGCUGCUGUGAAAAACAGUAUGGUGAUUCCUUAAAAAAAUUAAACAUAGAAUGACCAUGUAAUCCAGCAAUUACACUUCUGGGUAUAUACCCAAAAGAAUUGAAAGCAGGGAUUCAAACAGAUAUUUGCACAUCAAUGCUCAUAGUGAUAUCGAACCUGUAGUGAGUUCACUCACACGUUAUGCAGCAAGCCAAUCCCUGACACCGGGUGUAGUGGAAGAAAGUAGGCAUUUUAUUAUUGCACAGUGCUGAGCAAGGAGAGAGGGCAGCUAACGCUGAAAUCCCAAAAUUCCCUGAAAAGCUAGAAGUAAGGUUUUUAUUUGGGGUUUUAGGUAGAGGAGGGGGAGCAUAUUGUCUUGCUGGUUGGAGCUUUCCCACCAGCCUGUCUUUGGCCUUGAAACACUUGCAGAGAGGAGGGAGCCCGUGACCUUGCUGGUCAGCAGCUUUCCCACCAGCCUGUAGCUCCUUGCGGGGAGGAGAUAGUCCAGGUGCUUGUCCUUGACAGUGUCUGUCUCCAUGGAGGAUAGUGGAUUCUGGAGCCAGGAAGCCAGAGUAAGCAGGGAAUGAGUGUUUUGGUUUUAACCCCAUAUAUGCUGGGUUUAAUGUGGGGAAACUGAUAUCAGGACUGGUAUCAAUAGCAGCAUUAUUCACAAUAGCCAAAAGGUGGAAGCAUCCCAUGUGUGCAUUGAUGGGUCAAUGAAUAAACAAAAUGUGGUCUAUGCAGAUGAUAGAAUAUUAUUUAGCCUUAAAGAGGAAGGGAAUUCUGACACAUGCUACAACAGGAAGGAACCUCGAGGACAUUAUGCUGAGUGAAAUAAGCCGGGACGAAAACUGUACGACACCACUUAUAUGAGGUACCUAGAAUUGUCAAGCUGGUAGAGACAGAAGGUAGGAUUAAUGAUGAUUGCCAGGGACUUGGGGGGUGUGGUGGGGAGAUGUUGUUUAAUAGGGACAGAGUUUCAGUUUUACAAAAUAAAGAGAGCUCUGGAGACAGAUGGUGGUGAUGCUACACAACAAUGUGAAUGUUCUUAAUGCCACUGAACUUACACUUAAAAAUGGUUGAAAAAUGGGCAUGCUCCACGUCAGUGGCCCAGGUUCAGUUUCUGGGUGCAGAUCUAUAUCACUCAUCUGUCAGUGCCACGCUGUGGUGGUGGCUCACAUACAAAAAGAAGAAGACUGGCAGCUGAUGUUAGCUCAGGGCAAAUCUUCUUCAGAAAAAAAAGUAAAAAUGGUAAAUUUUAUGUUAUGUGUAUUUUAUCACAAUUAAAAAGAAAAUGAUGAG